UCAGGGGUUAACCUAGGUGGAAUUUGUGUAAUAUAUGGAGAACAAAGGAAAACAACGGUUGUAAAAGGGUAUUUAAAUAAGGCCAUAACAUGAGUGAGUUAGAAUUUUUCAGACAGAGAUGCAACUGGGGGUCUCCUGAAAGUUCUCCUUUGUUGUCGACAAUAAAGUAUAUUCUUCUGAUAUUCAUAACCUCCAGACUGAGUUUGAUUUAGUAAGAGAAAAACCAAGAAAACCACCACAAUUCCCUCUUGGAGUGUUUUUAUUUGUGGCCAACACAACUGCCCCUGUGGCUUAGUAGUAUGCACACCAGUUUCCAAACCAGAGACCUGGGUUCAAGACCCGACCGUUACACUGUCAGUAGAGUUAUUGGCAGUUCUGUGCUCCUGAAGUUUCUUCCACUAAACACAAUCUUCAACUUCAAGAUAUUAAUAUCCAUUGGAGACAUAAUGAUUGUGAGAUUGUGUGGGAAAUAAUUAAAGGUGAAGAUUUGGUACAAAAUCAGGACCAGCACUACAAGAACAGGGUCGAGUCCUUCUCUGAACAGUACAACUCAGGAAACAGCUCAAUCAAAAUCAACAAGCUUCAGUAUAGUGAUGAAGGAAUGUACACCUGCUUCAUCACAUGCUCCAAAAAUUUUAAAGAGACUGUCCAGUUGACUGUCAACGAAUCAAGACCCACUCCACCAGAAAACCAAGUA